UACGAAGGGGGCAAGCGUUGUUCGGAAUUAUUGGGCGUAAAGGGAGCGUAGGCGGUUCGGCAAGUCUUUAGUGAAAUCUCUGGGCUCAACUCAGAGUCUGCUGGAGAAACUGCCGGGCUGGAGUAUGGGAGAGGUGAGUGGAAUUCCCGGUGUAGAGGUGAAAUUCGUAGAUAUUCGCAAGAACACCAGUGGCGAAGGCGGCUCACUGGCCCGAUACUGACGCUGAGGCACGAAAGCGUGGGGAGCAAACAGG
rnacentral:rRNA from 1 species